GUCAGAUAAACUGUCACAGAUCACAGUGCCUAUGUGCAAGGAGCUCUUAUUUUACUUAAUGGUGAGUGGCCUCAACGCGCAAGAGUGGCGAUGCCGGCAAUUGGGAUGUGCCAAAGAGAAGCUGUAUGUACUUCUUUUAACUGAAAACAUCAUCUCAAGAAUCCACAGGACCCGGCUGUAUUUUCUGAGAAACUGCUGGCCCCUGCUAGAUCUCAAUCAGAUGUUGUCGUGUCCUAUCUCACAUGCAUCUGAAGGAGGAGUGCUCGUAAGAUACGAGAUGGCGCCACGGCCGGCAACGUUACUCAUCUUGGGAGCGGGACAAUGUAGCUGGUUUCAUAAACUUUCCUUUCUUUUAGUGUUCAAUUCUC